UACGAAGGGGGCUAGCGUUGUUCGGAUUUACUGGGCGUAAAGCGCACGUAGGCGGAUACUUAAGUCAGGGGUGAAAUCCUGGAGCUCAACUCCAGAACUGCCUUUGAUACUGGGUAUCUCGAGUCCGGAAGAGGUGAGUGGAACUCCUAGUGUAGAGGUGGAAUUCGUAGAUAUUAGGAAGAACACCAGUGGCGAAGGCGGCUCACUGGCCCGAUACUGACGCUGAGGCACGAAAGCUAGGGGAGCAAACAGG
rnacentral:rRNA from 1 species